rnacentral:rRNA from 1 species
UACGUAGGGUGCGAGCGUUGUCCGGAAUUACUGGGCGUAAAGAGCUCGUAGGUGGUUUGUCGCGUUGUUCGUGAAAUCCCACGGCUUAACUGUGGGCGUGCGGGCGAUACGGGCAGACUGGAGUACUGCAGGGGAGACUGGAAUUCCUGGUGUAGCGGUGGAAUGCGCAGAUAUCAGGAGGAACACCGAUGGCGAAGGCAGCUCGCUGGGACGGUACUGACGCUGAGGCGCGAAAGCGUGGGGAGCGAACAGG